rnacentral:rRNA from 1 species
UACACAAGGUUGACCUCGGAUCAGGUAGGAAUACCCGCUGAACUUAAGCAUAUCAAUAAGCGGAGGAAAAGAAACCAACAGGGAUUGCCCCAGUAACGGCGAGUGAAGCGGCAACAGCUCAAAUUUGAAAUCUGGCUUCGGCCCGAGUUGUAAUUUGUAGAGGAUGCUUUUGGUGAGGUGCCUUCUGAGUUCCCUGGAACGGGACGCCAGAGAGGGUGAGAGCCCCGUAUAGUUGGACACCGAGCCUCUGUAAAGCUCCUUCGACGAGUCGAGUAGUUUGGGAAUGCUGCUCAAAAUGGGAGGUAUAUCUCUUCUAAAGCUAAAUACUGGCCAGAGACCGAUAGCGCACAAGUAGAGUGAUCGAAAGAUGAAAAGCACUUUGAAAAGAGGGUUAAAUAGUACGUGAAAUUGUUGAAAGGGAAGCGCUUGUGACCAGACUUGUGCCCGGCUGAUCAUCCAGUGUUCUCACUGGUGCACUCUGCCGGGCUCAGGCCAGCGUCGGUUCUCGCAGGGGGACAAAAGCUUCGGGAACGUAGCUCCUCCGGGAGUGUUAUAGCCCGUUGCUCAAUACCCCUGCGGGGACCGAGGU